rnacentral:snRNA from 1 species
GAUGACUCGCAAAUUCGUGAAGCGUUCCAUAUUUUU